rnacentral:tRNA from 2 species
UCCCCGAUAGCUCAGCCGGUAGAGCAAGCGACUGUUAAUCGCUGGGUCGUUGGUUCGAGUCCAACUCGGGGAGCCA